GGGCCAUAGUUCAGUGGUACAGCAUCUGCUUUGCAUGCAGAAGGUCCCAGGUGCAAAUCUCAGCAUCUCCA